ACCAAACUGAGAGAGGAUCUGGCGAAGUCUAACGUGAUCCAUGUGUGGCGGGAUGCGGCUCAAGUAGCAGACUCCUCGAUUGACAGCCUUAGUAGCUUCCUUGAGCAGCUUCUCUUUCAGCUUCUUUUUCUUUCUAUCCGCCUUUUGACUCUUCAUUGUUUCCUUACUCUCCUCCUUGGUGGAUACUUCAUUCGCAAGCUCGUGAGACUCCUCACUCUGCAUCUUCUCUCAGCAGCUAAGAAGAAGGAGGUAGUAACGGUCGGUUCGGAAGAUGGAAGAAGACUACGCUCUGUAACUUUGCACGCUUCGUUAGGGUUUUGCUAAAGAGAAAGUGAGCUGCUUUCCAGAAAAAAACCCGGUUCUUAUCAAUCGCGUAAUAAUAAUUGAUACCAUUCCGGUUAUUAAUAGACUUAUUUUUACGGUUAUCGAUAUUCGGUUAUAAGGUACGAACCGGUAUCUGAUUACACUUACAUUUGUAUAUGUAUGUAGUAGACCUUAGCUUUAGUAGAUUUUCUACACAUUAGAGGCAAGAUGAUUUUUACAUGGUUUUGGAGAACAUUGCAAUGAAGGAACACACAAAGCAACUAGAAACUAAGACGACACAAGGAAACUAUUAUACUCUAUGCUUGUUCUCUACGUCACCUAAUUGAUUACAAAACGCUAUAUAUAAAAGCUUUCUUAUCCAAAUCUUUCUGAGCAGGUCACCAUAGACUUGAUAUGAGAUCAGUCCUUCUUUGACGAUUUCUUCACACAACAGCCCUGUCGGCUCCUCCACCAUCAACAUCUUUUGCUGAACCGCAGGAGUACAAGGCUGAUCAACCUCUUGUGAUGCUUCACCUCCUCCUCCUUCUCUCUUCUUCUUCCUCUUCUCGUUUUCUUCUUCCUCUGCUUUUUUCUUAAUUCCCCUUGGCGUCAUGUAGAUCUUGCACAUAGCAUAAUCCACCUAGUACACACAGAACACACAAGAAUACGAAUCCAUGACACCCACAAUCUUAAUAACUUGCAAGCACCCUAGUAAACGUAUGAACCUUGUUACAAAUUAAGAUUCUUAACGUUUAAUUUAUAAGCAAGUAAUUAAGAUUUAGUUUUUCUUCUU